ACUCCUACGGGAGGCAGCAGUAGGGAAUCUUCCACAAUGGACGAAAGUCUGAUGGAGCAACGCCGCGUGAACGAUGAAGGCCUUCGGGUCGUAAAGUUCUGUUGUAAGGGAAGAACAAGUGCCGCAGGCAAUGGCGGCACCUUGACGGUACCUUGCGAGAAAGCCACGGCUAACUACGUGCCAGCAGCCGCGGUAAUACGUAGGUGGCAAGCGUUGUCCGGAAUUAUUGGGCGUAAAGCGCGCGCAGGCGGCCUCUUAAGUCUGAUGUGAAAGCCCCCCGGCUCAACCGGGGAGGGCCAUUGGAAACUGGGAGGCUUGAGUAUAGGAGAGAAGAGUGGAAUUCCACGUGUAGCGGUGAAAUGCGUAGAGAUGUGGAGGAACACCAGUGGCGAAGGCGACUCUUUGGCCUAUAACUGACGCUGAGGCGCGAAAGCGUGGGAGCAAACAGGAUUAGAUACCCCGUGGUAGGAUAGCG
rnacentral:rRNA from 1 species